AUGCAGGUAUGAGUAGCGAAAGACGGGGGAGAAUCCCGUCCACCGAAUGCCUAAGGUUUCCUGAGGAAGGCUCGUCCGCUCAGGGUUAGUCAGGACCUAAGCCGAGGCCGACAGGCGUAGGCGAUGGACAACAGGUUGAUAUUCCUGUACCACCUCUUUAUCGUUUGAGCAAUGGAGGGACGCAGAAGGAUAGAAGAAGCGUGCGAUUGGUUGUGCACGUCCAAGCAGUUAGGCUGAUAAGUAGGCAAAUCCGCUUAUCGUAAAGGCUGAGCUGUGAUGGGGAAGCUCCUUAUGGAGCGAAGUCUUUGAUUCCCCGCUGCCAAGAAAAGCUUCUAGCGAGAUAAAAGGUGCCUGUACCGCAAACCGACACAGGUAGGCGAGGAGAGAAUCCUAAGGUGUGCGAGAGAACUCUGGUUAAGGAACUCGGCAAAAUGACCCCGUAACUUCGGGAGAAGGGGUGCUUUCUUAACGGAAAGCCGCAGUGAAUAGGCCCAAGCGACUGUUUAGCA
rnacentral:rRNA from 1 species